AUUCGCCGCUGCACUGCAAAAUUGAUCAAAGUUGUUCAUAGAUGAAUGAGAGGGGAGAGGAAGGGGAAGGAAAAACCUAGCUUCACUACAAAGCAUAAGGGAAGCUAAUUGAGCCUGGAGUCUGUUGCUCCUUUGGAAAUUCAUGGACAUCAGAUGGAGCGUUGCACAAUGGAGAUGACGGUUUAGGACUCAACUUCCCCUUCCAAGCCGUAAAUGUAUGCUGUAGCUUAGGUGGCACCUGCAAGCCAAAGAAAAUUGUAAUGAAGUUGAAAGAUUUCCGAAGUACCUGGAUGUUGUUUAUUCUAUAGUUGCCAAGCUAUGUUGCUCGGACUCUCAAAAAAUGUCGUUUGGUGCCAUAUCAGAUCCUCCGAAAGUAGUGUACUUUGGAGGAUCUGACACGGCUGCUACAGCAUUUUCAGUUAGUCCUUACAUAAGGCGAAUAUUGUCUGAUAUCCCUUAAAGCAUCUAUCUUUUUCCAGACACUGUUACUCAAGUUUCUCAAAUAACUCUGUUCAUAUUGCAGCAUGUU